rnacentral:rRNA from 1 species
GUAGGUGGCAAGCGUUGUCCGGAAUUAUUGGGCGUAAAGCGCGCGCAGGCGGUUCUUUAAGUCUGAUGUGAAAGCCCACGGCUCAACCGUGGAGGGUCAUUGGAAACUGGAGAACUUGAGUACAGAAGAGGAAAGCGGAAUUCCACGUGUAGCGGUGAAAUGCGUAGAGAUGUGGAGGAACACCAGUGGCGAAGGCGGCUUUCUGGUCUGUAACUGACGCUGAGGCGCGAAAGCGUGGGGAGCAAACAGGAUUAGAUACCCUGGUAGUCCACGCCGUAAACGAUGAGUGCUAAGUGUUAGGGGGGUUUCCGCCCCUUAGUGCUGCAGCUAACGCAUUAAGCACUCCGCCUGGGAGUACGGCCGCAAGGCUG